GAUGAACGCUGGCGGUAUGCUUAACACAUGCAAGUCGUACGAAGAUCUUUGAUCUUAGUGGCGGACGGGUGAGUAACACGUGAGAAUCUGCCCUUAGGGAGAGGAUAACAGCUGGAAACGGUUGCUAAUACUCUAUACGCCGAGAGGUAAAAGGAUUUAUCCACCUUAGGAAGAGCUCGCGUCUGAUUAGCUUGUUGGUAAGGUAAUGGCUUACCAAGGCGACGAUCAGUAGCUGGUUUGAGAGGACGACCAGCCACACUGGGACUGAGACACGGCCCAGACUCCUACGGGAGGCAGCAGUGGGAAUUUCCGCAAUGGGCGAAAGCCUGACGGAGCAAUACCGCGUGAGGGAUGAAAGCCUGUGGGUUGUAAACCUCUUUCUCAAGGAAGAAGUUCUGACGGUACUUGAGGAAUAAGCAUCGGCUAACUCUGUG
rnacentral:rRNA from 1 species